UCACUCCAGCAUCUCCUCCAAAUCUGUCAAUGAAAUCACCUUGGAGGUUCACUCUUUGCAUGAUGGGAUUGCUCGAUCUCGAGAAGCACUUCGCCUUCUACGGUGCUUACCACAGCAACCCAAUCAACAUCGUAAUCCACAUCUGCUUGGAUAAGAAAUCUGGGUUCGUUGCGGCUCUCAUGUGUUUCGCUUGCUGGGUCGGUUCCAGUGUCUUCGCUGAUCGAUUAGGACCUUCUCUUGCCGUAAAGGCUUGAUUUUUUCUCUUUUGUCUGAAUCUAAAAAAGUUUUCUUUUUGGAGGAGUGUAUUUAUGAGAGCAUGUGCAUCCAUGUGUGUGUGUGUGUGCGCGCGCUUCAUGCAUUUAUUCCAGCUAGCUCCACCUUUCGAGUUUGCAUUGUUGGUUCCAAGACUUGUAAUUGGUAUUAGUGUUACGAUCUCGUUUGUGAAGAGGUUCAAGUGUUUUGGAUCAUUUGAUUAAGUUUGUUAUGGAUUAUUCCCUCGUUGAAAUCCAUCUGUUAUGUAGACACUAACAAUUUUCAGUUUUUUCUCAGGUUGGGUUAGCCUCUUAUUGAUGUAGUGAAGAGAGUGGAUUUGAGGAAACCCACAUUGUGGAAUCAGUUUCAUGGGAUGAUCUUGAGAGAAACGCUGCUAGUAAAGCCGGUGGUUCUUCUAAAAGACAUCACUCCUGGAGAUCUCACCAGCACGACCCCAGUGUCUUCGCUGAUCGAUUAGGACCUUCUCUUGCCGUAAAGGCUUGAUUUUUUCUCUUUUGUCUGAAUCUAAAAAAGUUUUCUUUUUGGAGGAGUGUAUUUAUGAGAGCAUGUGCAUCCGUG
rnacentral:lncRNA from 1 species